CCGGUCUGCAGCCAACAAGGCUGAGUUCAUCUCAGCCUAUGCUACCCUCCAGUCCCUAGACUUCCUGGCGCUGACGGAAACAUGGAUUACCACAGAUAACACUGCUACUCCUACUGCUCUCUCUUCGUCUGCCCACGUUUUCUCGCAUACCCCUAGAGCAUCGAGCCAGACGGGGUGGUGGCACUGGAAUCCUCAUCUCUCCCAAGUUCCCUUGGAGAGUUCAUCAAUGAGCUUGACGCCUUGAUAAGUUCCUUUCCUGAGGAUGGCUCACCUCUCACAGUUCUAGACCAUUUCCGGAGACCUUCUCCCCUUCCUCACCUCGCUCAUCAACUCAUCCUUGACCGCUGGCUACGUCCCUUCCGUCUUCAAGAGAGCGAGAGUUGCACCCCUUCUGAAAAAACCUACACUCGAUCCCUCCGAUGUCAACAACUACAGACCAG
rnacentral:lncRNA from 1 species